AAGUUUGAUCAUGGCUCAGGACGAACGCUGGCGGCGUGCCUAAUACAUGCAAGUCGAGCGGACCGAAGGGAGCUUGCUCUUUUAGGUUAGCGGCGGACGGGUGAGUAACACGUGGGCAACCUGCCCUGCAGACUGGGAUAACUUCGGGAAACCGGAGCUAAUACCGGAUAACACCAAAACCGCAUGGUUUUCGGUUGAAAGGCGGCUUUUAGCUGUCACUGCAGGAUGGGCCCGCGGCGCAUUAGCUAGUUGGUGAGGUAACGGCUCACCAAGGCGACGAUGCGUAGCCGACCUGAGAGGGUGACCGGCCACACUGGGACUGAGACACGGCCCAGACUCCUACGGGAGGCAGCAGUAGGGAAUCUUCCGCAAUGGACGAAAGUCUGACGGAGCAACGCCGCGUGAGCGAAGAAGGUCUUCGGAUCGUAAGGCUCUGUUGUCAGGGAAGAACAAGUACCGUUCGAACAGGGCGGUACCUUGACGGUACCUGACGAGGAAGC
rnacentral:rRNA from 1 species